rnacentral:rRNA from 1 species
ACGGAAGGCAGCAGUGGGGAAUAUUGCACAAUGGGGGAAACCCUGAUGCAGCGACGCCGCGUGAAGGAAGAAGUAUCUCGGUACGUAAACUUCUAUCAGCAGGGAAGAAAGUGACGGUACCUGACUAAGAAGCCCCGGCUAACUACGUGCCAGCAGCCGCGGUAAUACGUAGGGGGCAAGCGUUAUCCGGAUUUACUGGGUGUAAAGGGAGCGUAGACGGAAUGGCAAGUCUGAUGUGAAAGGCGGGGGCUCAACCCCUGGACUGCAUUGGAAACUGCCAGUCUUGAGUACCGGAGGGGUAAGCGGAAUUCCUAGUGUAGCGGUGAAAUGCGUAGAUAUUAGGAGGAACACCAGUGGCGAAGGCGGCUUACUGGACGGUAACUGACGCUGAGGCUCGAAAGCGUGGGGAGCAAACAGGAUUAGAUACCCUGGUA